rnacentral:rRNA from 1 species
AGUGAACGCUGGCGGCAGGCCUAACACAUGCAAGUCGAGCGGCAGCGCGGGGGCAACCCUGGCGGCGAGCGGCGGACGGGUGAGGAAUUCGUCGGAAUCUGCCUUUUUGUGGGGGAUAACGUAGGGAAACUUACGCUAAUACCGCAUACGUCCUACGGGAGAAAGUGGGGGACCGCAAGGCCUCACGCAGAAAGAUGAGCCGACGACCGAUUAGCUAGUUGGUGGGGUAAAGGCCCACCAAGGCGACGAUCGGUAGCUGGUCUGAGAGGAUGAUCAGCCACACUGGGACUGAGACACGGCCCAGACUCUUACGGGAGGCAGCAGUGGGGAAUAUUGGACAAAGGGCGCAAGCCUGAUCCAGCCAUGCCGCGUGUGUGAAGAAGGCCUUCGGGUUGUAAAGCACUUUUGUCCGGAAAGAAAUCCCUGGAGCUAAUACCUUCGGGGGAUGACGGUACCGGAAGAAUAAGCACCGGCUAACUUCGUG